GAUGAACGCUGGCGGCGUGCCUAAUACAUGCAAGUCGAGCGAACAGACGAGGAGCUUGCUCCUCUGACGUUAGCGGCGGACGGGUGAGUAACACGUGGAUAACCUACCUAUAAGACUGGGAUAACUUCGGGAAACCGGAGCUAAUACCGGAUAAUAUAUUGAACCGCAUGGUUCAAUAGUGAAAGACGGUUUUGCUGUCACUUAUAGAUGGAUCCGCGCCUCAUUAGCUAUUUGGUAAGGUAACGGCUUACCAAGGCAACGAUGCGUAGCCGACCUGAGAGGGUGAUCGGCCACACUGGAACUGAGACACGGUCCAGACUCCUACGGGAGGCAGCAGUAGGGAAUCUUCCGCAAUGGGCGAAAGCUUGACGGAGCAACGCCGCGUGAGUGAUGAAGGUCUUCGGAUCGUAAAACUCUGUUAUUAGGGAAGAACAAAUGUGUAAGUAACUAUGCACGUCUUGACGGUACCUAAUCAGAAAGCCACGGCUAACUACGUG
rnacentral:rRNA from 1 species